UGUGCGCGAGUCACUGGGAUCAUGUCUAAACCCAGAGGCGCAGUGAAAGCGUGAGGCUCGCUCGGCAUUAAGCCGCGGCGAGCCGCCAAGGGAGGACGGCCGGUCGUUCCCGCAUGGUGUGGCCGGCCAGCACUCCCGGGGCGCCUCGGCUCCGGCCGCAGGCGCACCCGGAGCGCACACGUUGGGACCCGAAAGAUGGUGAACUAUGCCCGGCCAGGACGAAGUCAGGGGAAACCCUGAUGGAGGUCCGCAGCGAUUCUGACGUGCAAAUCGAUCGUCAGAGCUAGGUAUAGGGGCGAAAGACUAAUCGAACCAUCUAGUAGCU
rnacentral:rRNA from 1 species